ensembl:lincRNA
GUCAGCCAUUAACUGUGCAGGGAGUCCCAGCUUGAGCCUUAGCCUGGCUUAGACAUGUCUGAGCAAGCCUGAAGAACUGCAAUGUGGACCUGCUAGCAACCUAUGUGUGCCUGAGACAGUAGAGCCUCCUGGGAAGGAUGAAAGAAUCAGGCACAACCUAGGUAACUAGAUGUUGCUUGUAUCAGGAAAGAAGCGACUGAACACUGUUUGACUAAGGAAACCGGCUUAAGGAGCAUGAGGAACUCGCCCAAGGCCAUGUAACUACCUCAGCGGCAAGGCUGGGCCCUGGCCUUAGCAACCACCCUGUGCCUCACCUUCGUCAUCGAGAAGUACUGAAGUCCAAGUUGCCACAGGGCCUAGGGGAGAAUGAACAAACCAGUCUAAAUCCCAGUUCUUCAGGAUUUUUUUCUUGCUGCUUUAACAGAAUGCCUGAUGUUAGAUAGUUAUAUAAAAUAGAAGGCCAUUUGUCUGUCAGUGCUGAAGUGGGGAAGUCCAGGGGUAUGCCAAUGGUAAAUGUGACAGUCACCUCAGACUCGAAGGCAAAAAUACAAUCAUGGGCGAGAAAAUC